rnacentral:rRNA from 1 species
CCUACGGGUGGCAGCAGUCGAGAAUCAUUCACAAUGGGGGAAACCCUGAUGGUGCGACGCCGCGUGGGGGAAUGAAGGUCUUCGGAUUGUAAACCCCUGUCAUGUGGGAGCAAAUUAAAAAGAUAGUACCACAAGAGGAAGAGACGGCUAACUCUGUGCCAGCAGCCGCGGUAAUACAGAGGUCUCAAGCGUUGUUCGGAAUCACUGGGCGUAAAGCGUGCGUAGGCUGUUUCGUAAGUCGUGUGUGAAUGGCGCGGGCUCAACCCGCGGACGGCACGUGAUACUGCGAGACUAGAGUAAUGGAGGGGGAACCGGAAGUCUCGGUGUAGCAGUGAAAUGCGUAGAUAUCGGGAGGAACACUCGUGGCGAAGGCGGGUUACUGGACAGUAACUGACGCUGAGGCACGAAGGCCAGGGGAGCGAAAGGGAUUAGAUACCCGAGUAGUC